UUCACCGAGGAGUGCACAGACCACACCGACCGCCCGACUGACCUUCCUCCUACUACUCCUCCUCCCUUGUCCUCGCCCUCUUCCUCAUCCCGAGAAAGGACUCGGUGUACGCAAUCCCACUGCCCCGAAGCGACGACAGCACCUGGUGGUCUUUGGACCAGAUCGUGUUCUUACCAUGACUGCAGGACCCAAAUGAUGUUUGUCAGAGGAAUUAAGAUUGAAACUGACACAGCCGAUGAAGCAGAAGAAGAAGCAGAAUGGGACAAUACAGGCUGUUGGCUCUGGUGGGGAGGGAGGAGGCAUCCGGACGGGCGGCAAGAGAGCUCCGAUCCACCAACACCUUUUUCUUUUCCAGUAGCACCACCCGAAACCCUGAGAGUCCAGUCGGUUGGACACACCCGUCCCCUGCACUCAGAUCCAGGGAGAGUGUGGGAAGGAUAAACAAAAUGAUGUGACUGCAGCCACCAUGUGAGGCAGCUGUAUACGUUCAACACCAUCUCCUCAGCUGGACGUAACACACACACACGUACAGAGGAGGACUGUUGUGUCUCUUUUUUGCUGGGAAUAAAAUUGGACUCAUUUUGGCUCCGCGUGUCCUCAGAUGCAGCUGACAUAAGGUUUCUGACCUGGUCGGACCAAACAGGACUGUAGCUGUGGGGCUGCGAGGACACGACCGAUACGUGAAGGUGGACUCUCAAAACGUCCGAUGGGAGAGUGUGUGUGUGUGUGUG